AUAUUCACCCUGUAGGGGAGAUACCAAAAUUAUGAAAGCAGUCUUCCCAAGGAAAGGCUUACCUGCUGUACUUCAGCUGUGCUGGCCCCGGCGAUUUGCCCAAGUGUGGGAAAUUCAACAGCACGAUUUGUGAUAGUGGGACAGUCCUUCAGGUUCUUCUGC
rnacentral:snRNA from 1 species